rnacentral:pre_miRNA from 1 species
CAAAUACUCCCUCCGUUCCAAAAUAGAUGACCCAACUUUGUACUAAGUUAGUACAAAGUUGGGUCAUCUAUUUUGGAACGGAGGGAGUAUAAG